UUUAUACUCCUUCCGUUUAAAAAAACUUGUCCCAAACUUGUCUCUCGAAUGAAUGUAUCCAGCACUAACUUGGUGCUAGAUACAUCCAUUUGAGGGACAGGCUUUUUCGGACGGAGGGGGUACCAA
rfam:Triticum aestivum genome assembly, contig: Triticum_aestivum_CS42_TGACv1_scaffold_457068_5DS